GUCUACAGCCAUACCACCCUGAACGUGCCCAAUCUCAUCUGAUCUUGGAAGCUAAGCAACGUCAGGCCCGAUUAGUACUUGGAUGGGAGAUC
rnacentral:rRNA from 1 species